AAAAACGAAUAGGUUUAAUAGAGGAGUGUGCAUUUUGAAUUAAUGCAAUAUAGUAAUAAAUAUUAAAUAUUAGUAAAUAUUUAUAAUUAAAUUUUUAAUUUCUUAUUAUUGUUUCAGAUUGGUUCAGAUCGGUUUAUGCCUCUAAUUCAAUUUUUAAAAAAUUACAAAUUUUGAACUGAGAUGAUCUCUAUUGAACAUACCAUUAUGUACGACAUUAAUUAGGGAAAAUUUAGAUAAAUAAACUAAAAAUUAUGAUUUUUUUGCACUUAUAUCCUCUGAAAAUAUACAUAUAUCUCCAUAUAUUAAACAAAUUAGCAAAAUUAUUUAAAAUAGUUUGCAUUUAAACUUAAUGUUUAUUAAAAUUUUCUGAUUUGAUGCAAUAAAAAAUAUUUUAAUUAAUUCUAUUAAUGAAGGACUAGAAAAUCGAAAAUGUGAUAUUUUAUAUUUGCUAUUUUAAAUUUUAAAUUUUCAUAAUUAAUCAUUUCAAUUUUAUCAAUUUAAAGUGACUAGCAUUAGUCAUAUGGCCAGAAAAUAAUAAAAGAUUAGCAUGCCGGUGAUACAGAUAAAUCUUUUUAGGUGCAAUUGCUUAUAUUUUAGGGUUUAGGGUUUAGGGUUUAGGAUUUAGGGUUUGGAGGAGAUGCAUAUUCUCCAACAAACGAAGAGGUUUCUCCAAGAAACAAAGAGCUAACAAAUUCGACGAAGAGAUACCUCUUCUAAGAAACGAAGAGAUUAAACCAAAAAACGAAAAGGUUGCUCCUAAAAACGAAUAGAUUUAAUAGAUGAGUGUGAAUUUUGGAUUGAUUUAAUACAAUAAUUACACAAAAAAACGGAAAGGUUGCUCCUAAAAACGAAUAGGUUUAAUAGAUGAGUGUGCAUUUUGAAUUAAUGCAAUAAUAGUAAUAAAUAUUAAAUAUUAGUAAAUAUUUAUAAUUAAAUUUUUAAUUUCUCUAUGUUUUUUCUAUAUAUAAGAAGUUAUUGUCGGCAUAAACAAUGGCAUCAAUUAGGACUUGAAUAUAAAGAGAAAAAAGACAUUUAGAAAGAGAUAUCUAAAGAGAAAAAAAGACUUUUGGAGGUAGUUAUGCUGAAUAUUACGUAGAUUUGAUCAAGUUGGUGAUAUUUAUUUAAUCGGUCUUCAUACACUUACUUACUGAGCGGUUAGUUUUGAAAUUUUUUUUUUAUUUUUAAGUUAAUAUGCAUGCUUUGGUAAAAUUGUUUUUUAGUCAGACUUGUUUGUAUAAAUUUAGUGCUCUGUGGUUUUAUUUUAAUCUUUUUGUUAUCAAAUCCACUAAAAUUUUUCGUUAUAUCAGUGACAAAGUUAAAACUUAAGGAUAGUUAAGUAAUUAUUCGACAAAUCUAUGUGGGGUAUCUAAAUUUUUUUUUUAUAUAAUUUAAUAAAAUACUAACGAAAAAACUAAUGAAAAAAAAAGAACACUAACUUCAUAUACUUUAAACAAUUGGGUUCUAAAGUGAGAAAGUGUUAAAUCACAUGAAUAAUAUUUGAAGGUUAUUUUUGUAUAAUUUAUAUAUAUUAUAUAUUAUUAAAAAAUUAUCUUUUUAAUUAUUUAAAAAUUAU
rnacentral:lncRNA from 1 species